CAGGGUUCAUGAUUUGCUCAUUGUCUUUCUCAAGAUGUUGCUCUUGGAUCCUAAUGGCAGAUAGUAGGGUUUUCAUGCUCAUUUCCUCGGUCUUAUGUUUUAGAGACAGCCCAAAAUCUUUCCAAGAAGGUGGAAGCUUGUCAAUGGUACAAGCAACUUGAAGGCUCUCAGUUAUACCCAUUCCCCUUAAGCCUAAUUCAUGAUAAAUCACUGUUAGCUCAUGAGCUUGGUCAACUAUGGGCUUGGUGUCU
rnacentral:lncRNA from 1 species